UAACCCUAGGCAGCAAACGGAGAUCUUGAUCUUCUGAUCCUGCAGCUUCACCCUCAUGAAUGCUGGGAUCGCAGGCCUGCACCAGCGCAUCAGCCUCUGUUUAAGUGUCACACGACUAAGACAGAGCUUUUCUCGUCGGGAAGGAUGAGAAAGCUAAUGCGAUCUCAGAAACACCACACUCCAAAGUGACACGUGAAGGUCUGUCCUUUUGCCAUCACGCGUGGAGAGGACGAAGUCCUGAGUGAAUGUGUGCUGCUGAUACUAUCCACCAUGCUGUGAUGUAACCGGAAGUUCCCUGCUGAAGUUGCGUGGAUGAGACUAUUGGAUUUUUCAACUUCUAAAACUGUUACCUGAAUGAUGUAUCCAGCCUUGGGUAUUUUAUUACAUACCCAUAUUUUAUAACAUAAAAAAUUGUGU